rnacentral:piRNA from 1 species
UCUUCCUUUUUUACUCUCUCU